rnacentral:rRNA from 1 species
UACGUAGGGUGCAAGCGUUGUCCGGAAUUAUUGGGCGUAAAGAGCUCGUAGGCGGUUUGUCGCGUCUGCUGUGAAAUCUGGGGGCUCAACCCCCAGCCUGCAGUGGGUACGGGCAGACUAGAGUGCGGUAGGGGAGAUUGGAAUUCCUGGUGUAGCGGUGGAAUGCGCAGAUAUCAGGAGGAACACCGAUGGCGAAGGCAGAUCUCUGGGCCGUAACUGACGCUGAGGAGCGAAAAGCAUGGGGAGCGAACAGG